UACGAAGGGGGCUAGCGUUGCUCGGAAUCACUGGGCGUAAAGGGUGCGUAGGCGGGUCUUUAAGUUAGGGGUGAAAGCCCGGAGCUCAACUCCGGAAUUGCCUUUAAGACUGCAUCGCUUGAAUCCGGGAGAGGUGAGUGGAAUUCCGAGUGUAGAGGUGAAAUUCGUAGAUAUUCGGAAGAACACCAGUGGCGAAGGCGGGUCUCUGGGCCGAUACUGACGCUGAGGAGCGAAAGCGUGGGGAGCGAACAGG
rnacentral:rRNA from 1 species